AUGCACACAUGUUCAAAGCGUCUAGCACAAUUUAAUUUCCAGAAAUGAUAAAAUUCUAAAAUCAACACCAUAAAAUUCUAGACAUCCAAAUGAACAAGUAGAAAAAAGUUGGGAAUUAAUUGGAUCAUUAUUCUAUUUUUGGUGAUUUUUUGAAGAUCAUGGAAAAAAUGAAAUAAACAUUGAAAUAUCAUGAAAAUAAUAAAAAAAAAUGAAUAAAAUGGCAAUUGCUGGA
rnacentral:lncRNA from 1 species